GGAGAAGAGAGGAGGAGGAGAAGAAGAGAGGAGGGGCAGGAGGAGGAGGAGAAGAUGAGAGGAGGGGCAGGAGGAGGAGGAGGAGAGAGGAGGAGGAGAAAGGAGGAAGUCGAGGAGGUGAUGUAGGAGGAGGAGGAGGAGAGAGAAGGAGGAGGAGCAGCAGCAGGAGGAGGAGGUGGCCCAGGAGACAGAGGAGUGAAUGCAGAGCCUCCUCCUGGUCGUCGUGCCGACCGGCCGUUGCCUAGUAACUGGUGUUUGGUGUUUGGGUGCCAGCUGAUGUCUGAACGCCGGCCUGUCGCCGUGGCGACGCCCGGCGCUCUGAGCCUCGUCUGCUGCCGGGCGUCACCGUGACAACGAGACAAACGAGCAGGAGGAUCAGCAGAGUUCCUCUAACAGCUUCUCCUCCGUGUCGUCGUCCCGUGAUCGGCCCGUGGCGGCCCCGCCGGGGGUCCGGAGCCUCAGGUUGAACACCUCCUCCUCCUCCUGUUUGCUGGGAGCAGAUCUCCUCCUCGGGAGGGGUCCUCCUCUCUGCAGGAGGCGAUCAGACAGAAAGAGAAAGAGAUGAUUUGUGUGUUCCUGCUGAUGGAGCCGCGGGGGGCUGAAACAGAACAAUUUCUCUUUUCUUUCCUUUUUCUUUUUUUCGGUUGGAAGUUUUCUGUUUUUGGGGGAAAACUUCUAAAGACCGGCGUCUCCCAGAGAUCACAGAUGGAAUAUAAAGUCCAGCAGGAUCACUGAGACGCUCCGUUUAUCUGCUGAUUCCUGUUAACGCUGGAAAACUAUAAGGAUUUCUGGACACUUCUGACUCUUUUCAUCACAUUUAGUUCAGUAAUGUGUCCAAAAAGAUGCUUUAAUCAACUCUAAAAUCGGAUAUAACAGAAAUCUAAAACCACGUUACUCUGCUUUUACAAAUUCUGACAAACUGAGCAAACACAUUUUGAUGAAAUCAGGAUUUAAACCUUCAUCAUUUGUCCAAGUUUUUAUCUUUCAAAAUGACCAAAGAAGCAGCC